UGAAAACCACAAAUUGUGAGGAAACCUCCAUUGUACACUUAAAUGCUGGAUUCUAAUAAGUUUUAUUGAUUCAUGUGAUUCAUGCUUUGUCUUUUAUUAUUGUGAAAUUGUGGAAGCAAUUAGAAAUGAUCAAGGCACUUGUUUUCUUUUGAGCACAACUACAUCCAAAAUCAACUUACCUAUGAGCAGAGAGAGUAUUUGUUAACCCCUUUGAGCUUAAACAGUUGAAUCUCGGCUUGAAAUAAAGCGAGAUCUCAAAAAUCUUUUUUUUUUACAACCCGGAAAAUCUUGAUUUUUUGUUCUUUUGCCGUAAAAAGUUAAGAGCAUUCACUUAGGGUGUGGAAGAAAUAAGUUGGGGAGAACGAAAAAGAAUUGGUAAGUACCACAACUCUUGUAAAAGAAAAGAAAAAACCGAGCAAGCAUUAAAAAAUGUAUGUAUAGAAAAUAUAGAAAAGAAACAUUUGUUUUGUAUAUUUGAUGUGAAAGAAAAGAACAAAAAUAGAAAGAAUGAAAAUGAAUGCUUGCUUGGAAGAAAAAUAGUGAAAAAUAAAAAUUGAGUUGUGGAAUAUGUGUUGUGAAGGUUUCAAAUAAGAAACAAAUGAAACAAAGUCGAG
rnacentral:lncRNA from 1 species